GAUGAACGCUAGCGACAGGCCUAACACAUGCAAGUCGAGGGGUAGCAUGAAGUAGCAAUACUUUGAUGACGACCGGCGCACGGGUGAGUAACACGUAUGCAACCUGCCUGUAAGAGGAGAAUAACCCGGAGAAAUUCGGACUAAUACCGCAUAAUACCACGAAUUCGCAUGGAUUUGUGUUUAAACAUUUAUGGCUUACAGAUGGGCAUGCGUAUGAUUAGCUAGUAGGUGAGGUAACGGCUCACCUAGGCAACGAUCAUUAGGGGUUCUGAGAGGAAGGUCCCCCACACUGGUACUGAGACACGGACCAGACUCCUACGGGAGGCAGCAGUGAGGAAUAUUGGUCAAUGGGCGAGAGCCUGAACCAGCCAAGUCGCGUGAAGGAAGAAGGUUCUAUGGAUUGUAAACUUCUUUUGUAAGGGAAUAAAAAGAGUUACGUGUAACUUAUUGUAUGUACUUUACGAAUAAGGAUCGGCUAACUCCGUGCCAGCAGCCGCGGUAAGAC
rnacentral:rRNA from 1 species